rnacentral:lncRNA from 7 species
GCUUCAAACCUGUAGUGGUAGGGUUUUUCUGUUCUGUGCUUGGUUUCUAACCUCAGGCUUAUCCCUGCUAGCAAAACUACGGUUGGUUUUCUUACCAGUGUUGACAGGAUGAAAAUACCUUGGUGCUAAGUGCCACUUCUUUCACAGGAAGAGACUCUUCACAUCUGCAGCAGACAUUGAAGAGACAAACGUUACUUCAGAUAACUUCAGUGACAGAACAGGGCAGAAGAGUGAUGGGUUCAGGAAAGGGGAGCUGUAUUCGGCUUUGCUGAAUCCUUGGACUGACAGAAACGUAAACAGAUUAGAUGUCUAUAUUGGAAGAAAAUUUUGCUUUUCCACAUUGAAAACAUCUCAGAGAAUCCGUCAAACCCCAGUAUAGGAUUUGUCCUCAAAGAACAACCCCUUGUCCAAGGCUUGGUGAACAAAUGAUAAUAGCUGUAUCCUAAGGGCACUUGGCAGGGGUGACAUGGGAGGAUGCAACUAUAGCCCCGGGGUCUGUGCGAGAAGCGCUCAUGCACGAAGAGUGAAGAGCAGACAAGAAAGCAUGAAAAGCCCGGACAAAAUCCAGGGGGACUUCAUCUGUCAGGAGCAGCAAAACAAGGAUGGGUUGGGAUGUGUUCAGAGAAGCCAAAAGUGAGAGGUAGAGAGAAAUUCCUCUAUUAUAUAGGCUCAUGGGUCCAUUCACAGCUAGAGAAAGGAUACAGUGAGAGUUGUUCCAGGAAGCCUUUAACUGUACGAUAAAAAAGUUACAAAAUGUUUUAGGAAAAAGUGUUGCCCAGGGGUGUUUGUAAAUGAUUCUUCAGGGGGAUGGCAGGAUAUAAUGCCAGAUCUUCAUACAGAUACAUCUCAUGCUGCAAAAAUCUGUCUGAAAUUGAUCCUUUCAUCACACUUUGCUGGCUACUUGGAUGAAUUCUCUCUACACUUGAAAAAUGAAGAGGAUGUAAAAAUAGCAAUGUGCCAUGGAAAUCAUUAGGGACUACUUAUAUGUAUCCAAGAGAAAAUAUAGGGCCACUGGAACCAUUUUCUGUCUGCUGAAGACAUUAGGGUGGUGGAGGGAGAGUGAUUGGAGAAGACAGUUUUUGAGUCUUUGACCACGAAGCCCAGCACUGGAUAGAAGCACCGUUGACUGAGGGGCUCCAAAGUCUUCCCAGCCAGUCCUUGUGCUCGGAAGGAUCAUGGCUCUGACAUGAGACCCAAUUGGUAUCACGACACAUAGGCAUGUUCCUUAGUAGUGUCUGUAGGAAUUCAGCUCCUGGCUAGACAGUGAAAGAGCCUGAUAUUGAAAGGAAGCCUGUAACAGAAAAAAAGCCCAUGGGUUUACACAGAAACAAGGUGAUAUGCAAAUGAGAAAAUAUGUAUCAGCCUUGGCAGGAAUCGUUAUUAUUGAAAUCUCCUAUCUUUUCUUCUACUGCGGGGUGGUUUAUGCCUACCAGUAAGAGGAUAAUUGAAGAGUAGGAUUAGAACUUAUUUGGUUUGGACCUGAUAAUCAAAGGAGUUUUUUACUGUUAUUCCUACCAUUACAUGUGUGCAGGAAUUUCUCCAGGGGAACAAGCAAGUCCUAUGCUUGUACCAUGUCAUAAAACACUCGUGAUGUUUUGCUUUGACCUGCCCUGACAACCAGCUUAUGCCCUCAGACUUACAGGGAUGAGACUGAAGCAUGGAUGGGGUGGAAGGUAAAUGAGAUGGGGUUCAACAUCCCAAGUCAGAUGUCUCCAGGCUAACCAGGUUAUGAAAAGCCUCUGGUAUUCCUUGCUCAUGCAUGUCAGUGGCCUUCCUGCUAGAUGUCACAGGGCAACAUGGGACCCAAGACCGGGACAAAAACCUCUUUUCAGUCCUGCUCUAUCAGGGCAGGAGAGAGGUUUCCCUCAAACCAGGCAGUUGCUGCACUCUUUCAGUUUUACUUGUGCUCAUGGAAGGUGGAUCAUAAAGGCAUCCUGGGCUCCCUUGGGCUGUUGAGAGGGAGUUACAGUUACUUCUCAACUGAAUUUUCUCAAUCCACAGGUAAAUAGAAACAAAAAGUUGUCUUUUAUUUUUUUCCCACCUCCCUUAUCACUCCGGGUUGAAUAAGUAGGACCUAUGGGUCAGGAGAAAUCAGUCAGUUCCGUUUCACUGCACUUAGCUUUGAUUAGAUGUUAUCAAUUUCUUUUAAUAAAUGAAUUCCUUAUUAGCUCAAACACU